AAAAAUUAAUGAAAAUAAAAUAACUAAGUUAAACGAAAAUAGUUUGUAAAACCUGUAGCUAUUGUUAAACCAUACGUUUCAGAACAAACGUAUAAAACGCCGCAAGUUUAUAUUCCUCGAGUGGUUGAAACAAGACCACUCGAGAGGAUAGAUGAACAAAUGUAUAAUGGCUAACUAUUUUGACAACAUUCCAGAAAUAGACGACUAACAAGUGCGUAUGUUAGAUUUUAUUGUGCAUAGAAUAGAUCAACAUUUGCUACGCCAAGAUAACGAUAACGAAUUUGCUACGCCAAGACGCGUGAUAUGCUUUUGGUUGUUGUUUGUGUGACGAAGACAGCGUACAUAAUCAUUGCUGUACAACAACCGUGUGCCCGUACAUACAAGAAUUAUUUGAACGGUGCCGCGGUUGUGUUACUGUUUGUAAAAAAAUAAUUGUAAAUAUUUGCAUAUAAGUUUAUAUUAUAAUAAAAAAAUCAUUUAUCAAAAUAACUUUUAAUGCGACGGACGAUUGUCUAUUAAAUUUAUAUCAGGUCAAUUUAGAUUUAAAAAAACAUUUACAGGAAAAGCAUUUAAAUCAAGGUAUUGUAAUGGAUAAACUUCUCUUAGCCGAAGAAAGUGAAUUGGAUAGUUGUAAAAGAGUAUACGGUUUUUAUAUAAAAGAUACGAAAAUUAUAAAGAAAUAUCAAAUAGAGGUAAUAAGAGUUCUUGAUAUGUUAUUUAAAUGUCUUCCGGCUCGCGUAAUUUAUUCUGACACGUGUUAUCAUAACUAUAGUUAAAGUCAUUGAACGUUGUCUUGAUGUGUUAAAAACAUAUUAUUAUUAUUUUACGUGUAUAGACAAAUUGUAUAUAAAAAAAAAAUUAUGUAAAUAGUUUAAAAUUGAUAGUGCAACAAUUGUGUUAUU